CUAGUAUAUACUAGUAUAUGCUAGUUUGUGCUCACAAAAUGCUAAUUUGAGGAGGUAAAAUGUAUGUCACUUCCAGGGCUUCAUAGUUUACUAAAACAUUCCAAUAAAAAAACAACAAACACGACAUGAUCAUAUAAAGUCCAUCUAAAACAGAACAAAAAAACAUUUUAUAAGAAACUACUUUAUAAAAAACCCUCAUCCAUUUAAAUGAAUGAAGAACAAUUAAUUUGAAAAGUAAAGCUAGAAUCCAGAUGUAAGAAAAACUUAAAAAUGAUAAACAGGGUCAAAUAAAAACACAAAAAUAGAAAACAAUUUCUUAAAUAUAUUAAAAUUUAAUAGAACAUACAUUUAAAUAUAAAGUAUAACUUGGUUAAAACCUAAUUUAAAACACCAUUCAGAGAAAGUCCCCAGAAGCAGCAGCGAUGAAGGAGCCCUCAUGAGGGUCUCAGGAUCAGGGUCUCGGUCCCGGUUCUGAUCCUGAGACCCUCACCAGGGUCCCGGUUCUGAUCCUGAGACCCUCACGAGGGUCCCGGUUCUGAUCCUGAGACCCUCACCAGGGUCCCGGUUCUGAUCCUGAGACCCUCACCAGGGUCCCGGUUCUGAUCCUGAGACCCUCACGAGGGUCCCGGUUCUGAUCCUGAGACCCUCACGAGGGUCCCGGUUCUGAUCCUGAGACCCUCACCAGGGUCCCGGUUCUGAUCCUGAGACCCUCACGAGGGUCCCGGUUCUGAUCCUGAGACCCUCACGAGCGUCCCGGUUCUGAUCCUGAGACCCUCACCAGGGUCCCGGUUCUGAUCCUGAGACCCUCACCAGGGUCCCAGUUCUGAUCCUGAGACCAGACCAGAGCGUCUCUGGAGCAGGAGCUUAAGUCACAUGGAACCAGCAGAGUGGGACCAGCUGGACCAGGACAGACUCUCUGCAGUUCUGCAGCAAAGGGAAUCAAAGAUCUCAGCUCAGCUGCAGGGAUAAGCUUAGCCUCACCUGAAACGCUAGUCAGACAGGUGUGUGUGAGUCUGUGUGUAGUUUAUGCUUGUUUUGUGUUUUUGUCAUCAGUGUAGCAUCAGGUUCAGGCUGUUUAAACAAUCAGGGAUAAGUGCGUGUUGUUUCAAGGACAGAAGCUUGCCUGUGUGAGUGUGUGUAUGUUGUGUCUGUGUGUUUGUGUGGCAGUGAGUCACAGAUCAGCGGAGUGGGGUGUUUACAAACCCCCAGGCGCUCUCUGUUCACGCAUAAUGCAGCAGCUGACAUAUGCACGCUGUGAUUCCAGAGAGGGCGCGUGCACGUGCCCGACGUGCACGACCAGAUACUUUUCCCCAGCAGACUGAGCAUCUCAGCCCUCUUUAUGGCUAAUUAUAAGAGAAACCAGCCUCCAUGUCUAGGGGGCGGGGCUAAAGCUCAUCAUGAAACAUCAGGUCCAUUAUCCAGGUGGUUCUUCUGUAAAAAUCUAAUUCUGCUGCUUCAGUCCAUCUGGAGAAAUGGACCAGAAUUUUUUUGUUGAUAUUUUAAAUCAAAAUGUUGUCGUUUUUGUGCUUUGUAAAAUCUACGCCCUUAUUUGGAGCCUUUCAGCCAAAUCGUGUUAGCACCGUCAGCGUGACCCAACAUGUGGAGGAGAAGCCCAUCAGCGGAUGAAACCAUCAGCUCCAACAACGAUGAACUGAAAGGCUGCAGGGAUCCACUCUGACAGAGUCACGUGACUCUGUCCCUCCACAUCCAGGUCAGCCUCCUCUUUCUGUCUCCUCGCCUGCAGACAGCCAUUCUUCCACGCCGCUGCAUCUUUCCCCGCUCUCCCUCCUCCACGCCGCCCGCCGCCGCAGCUCCGCAGGGAAGGAAGAUGGCCGCUCCAAUCCAAAGUCUGCCGAUCCCUGCUGGAGGCUGCAUUCCCAAACCGAUCCUUUAAAAGCAUGACGCUCCUGCAGGCUGGAAGGUUUUGUCUUUCCACAAAAGCGGAUCUUUAGUUUAAAGAUCUUUCAAUAUUUAAUGACGCAUGCUGUUGGAGAAUCUUUUUCAACGUAGAAUUCAUACCUGAGAGAGAGAGAGGACGACACUUUGACCUCAGAGAACCCGGCUCUGACACUCAAGUCAUUCCUGAGAUUCUGGACCUGAAAUGUGGUUUUCAAUCCACUUUUAGUUAGAAUCAUCAGACUCCACAAGAGAAGUGAAGCUUCUUUUUUCAAACCAGAAAAGCUCCGCUCACAUUCAUUAGAACACAUUCCACACUGAAUUUCUGCAUCAGUGUCAUUACAGAGCUGGGAAACAUCAGAAAGGGCAGAAAUAUUUAAUGUCAUUGUUCUGAGGAGCUACAGUAUAAAGCAUCAAAGGCUCUGAAGUACCAGUAUCAUGAAAGCAUCGCUUCAUCCUUAUUUUCAAAAUUAAAGGAGCUCGAAAGGCUUUUUGUUUUACAUUGGUUCCUACUUUGGUUACAGUUAAAGUUUAGAAAUCUGAAGAAAAUCUGCAAUCUCCCCUGGAAUCACAAAAGACGGAUUUCAAAGCCGAACUUCUUCCUCCAGAGUCUUCAUCGGUACUUGAAGGUGUCGACACGACCUGCACUGACGAUAACAAUCACAGCCUCCUCUAACUGCAGAUAAUCCUGCUUCAGGAUCAACAACCAACAACGUUUUUGAUCGGGAAAAAAGGAUAACGGAAGAAAACUAGAUUGAAGAAUCUCAUUAACCAUCAUGUUCUUUAUAAGGUGAAGAUAAAUGUUCAUUUGGUGUUUCUGAAUCAGUUUUGACAGGUUGAAGACCCAAGAUGAGAGAUUAGGAGCCAUCUAGUGGCACUAUGUUGUAAUUGCAGCCAAAAUGAAAUCCUCUAGAAAUAAAGUCCAAAACAUACUUUCACAAAUAAAAAUAUUAUAAACUGGAGAAAAUCUUGUUAGUACUGACAAUUAUCUACAAUUCUCAAUUCUGCGAUGAAUCAGAGAUGACAAGAAAAACUAAAGAGUAGAUCAGGACCGUGAGCUCCUACUGUCCUCUGAUCACCUGAUCAGGUAAACGGAGGUUCUGACUGACGGGCAGAGAAACGGAGAACCCGGGGGCCUUGUCUGCUGAGGGGAGGUGCUCCUUUAAGCCACAGCACGGGGGAGCUGGGGUGAAUUCCUCUGAGACGAGUCCAGGCAGGACUUCAGACGCCGGCGUGCAGCUUCCUGUGGGUGGUCUCUCCCUGUGGCAGGAACCCUGUAACCCCCCCCCCCCCAUGGCGCCCUUAGAACAGAAGCAAAGACUGAACAAGACCAAAGCGCUCUUCCAUCUGCUGCUCAUGUGGGGGCGCUGUUGUCCAAAACGAGCUGUGGCCAACCCAAAUAAAAGCAGGAAGAAGAAAAGCAGCCAGUCCUGCUCCUCCAUGUCCUCACCUCCAAAGUUCUUCAUGGUUCCUGUUCCACAAAGGUUUGGAAUGGAAGUUAAAAAAAUGGUUUUGAACCGUAAAUACUGAUACAGGCGCCGGGAUCCGGAUGAGCAGAGCGAUCUGCUGAUGCCGUUCCAGAGUUCGGCUUCGGUCUGGGUUUGUCUGCUGACCUUCAUGGAGACCAGACAGGAAGAAGCUGAAGUUUUCUUCCAUUUAUUAUUUACCAGAUGGUUCAACUGAUGUCAACUUUGAGCCUGAAAGACCCACUGAUGAAAAUGUUGUCUUUGGUGUUUUUAACAUGUUGUUGUGGCAUUUUUCUAACUAUGGAGGCCAUAAAUCGACAAAAUUAAGAUUAAAAUUGCAUUUCUGAUUA